CCUACGGGAGGCUGCAGUGAGGAAUAUUGGUCAAUGGACGAGAGUCUGAACCAGCCAAGUAGCGUGAAGGAUGACUGCCCUAUGGGUUGUAAACUUCUUUUAUAUGGGAAUAAAACGUUCCACGUGUGGGAUUUUGUAUGUACCAUAUGAAUAAGGAUCGGCUAACUCCGUGCCAGCAGCCGCGGUAAUACGGAGGAUCCGAGCGUUAUCCGGAUUUAUUGGGUUUAAAGGGAGCGUAGGUGGAUUGUUAAGUCAGUUGUGAAAGUUUGCGGCUCAACCGUAAAAUUGCAGUUGAAACUGGCAGUCUUGAGUACAGUAGAGGUGGGCGGAAUUCGUGGUGUAGCGGUGAAAUGCUUAGAUAUCACGAAGAACUCCGAUUGCGAAGGCAGUUCACUGGACUGCAACUGACACUGAGGCUUGAAAGUGUGGGUAUCAAACAGGAUUAGAUACCCCUGUAGUC
rnacentral:rRNA from 1 species